GAGGUUCAUUGCUUAGGACAUUUGCAAUUUUAUUUCACUUGGUAGAUAUUAUAGGUCACGUGAGGUUUUAGGUAAACUUUAUGUCUUUUAAUUUUCUUUUAUUUUAAAUUAGUUAGAAUUGUAGGUUGACUUGUUUUUAAUUUCUUUAAUUUUGUUUUGUAUUUAAAUUAAUUUGAUUGUGUUUAGAUAUUUGUUUAGUCUAGUAUUGGGUUUAGCAUUUUCACUCUCUUUAAUGCUUUCUAUGAUGAUCGGAUGUGUUUAACUUUUAUUUUUGAAUUUCGUUUUUUAAUUCGCAAACCUUUUCAAACCCCCCCCUCCUUUUUUUGUGUUAGACUUGACUCUGAACCGUAGUUGGUCCUUGAGAGACGACCUAGGGGUCAUUCCCUAGCAUUAUACUGCAUUUCUAAAUUGCAAUCAAAUUUGUAUGGGCUGC
rnacentral:lncRNA from 1 species